rnacentral:lncRNA from 1 species
AUGGGUUAGAGACUUACAUGAGUUAGCGACUUACGAAGAUAUUCAACAAUACAUAAGAAGAAGAUCAAGCGGAGGAAAAAGUGAAAGAAGUUUUCAUUCAAAGUUAAAAGAAAGUUUACAAAGUCGGGUCGAAGCCCGAUUAUAAGUAUUCAAAAAAAGAAAAAGACAAAAGCAACUAAAGUCGGCAAGGCCCGAUCAUCCUUCUGAGUCGAUCUCCUCGAUCGACGGAAGAUCGGGGAUGACCGAUGUGUCGACCACGAUCGGCGUUGGGUCGACGGCCGAAGCAGGACCUUCGGUCGGUGGGGGGCUGGCAGUCGGCGCCACUUGCUCCGGGACGGCUUCCUCCGCCACGACGACGCCUCCCGAUGGCUGGUCGGCCAUCUCCUCGGUGGCUUGCUCCUCGGCCCUCGGUGGGACGAUGCUGCUGAGGUCCAACUCCGGGUACAAGGCCUGGACUGCAUCUCGACCGUCCUCGUACCCCACCCGGUACGAGGCGAAGCCUGACUCGAGCAUCUCCUCCCGAUACUGGUCGGAGGCACGGAAGUCCUCCACCGCCCGACUGGCCGACUCCUUCGCCGACCUUGCCUCUUC